GAUGAACGCUGGCGGCGUGCCUAAUACAUGCAAGUCGAGCGAACAGAUGAGAAGCUUGCUUCUCUGAUGUUAGCGGCGGACGGGUGAGUAACACGUGGGUAACCUACCUAUAAGACUGGGAUAACUCCGGGAAACCGGGGCUAAUACCGGAUAAUAUUUUGAACCGCAUGGUUCAAUAGUGAAAGACGGUUUCGGCUGUCACUUAUAGAUGGACCCGCGCCGUAUUAGCUAGUUGGUAAGGUAACGGCUUACCAAGGCGACGAUACGUAGCCGACCUGAGAGGGGGAUCGGCCACACUGGAACUGAGUCACGGUCCAGACUCCUACGGGAGGCAGCAGUAGGGAAUCUUCCGCAAUGGGCGAAAGCCUGGCGGAGCAACGCCGCGUGAGUGAUGAAAGUCUUCGGAUCGUAAAACUCUGUUGUUAGGGAAGAACAAAUUUGUUAGUAACUGAACAAGUCUUGACGGUACCUAACCAGAAAGCCACGGCUAACUACGUGCCAGCAGCCGCCGUAA
rnacentral:rRNA from 1 species